AAAUGCACAAUGUAUUAUCCUUUGAAAACCGAAAACAGUUAUGAUAAAUGAUAUCUUUAAUUUAACACAUUUCCAUUUCUACAUAUCUAUCAUUCAUUGUCGAAUAUAUAUAUCUUAGUUAGUCACACAAUGUUUCACACAUUCAUUACGGUCUACCCAGCAAGGCUGAGAUUUCAAUAUAGUACAACAGUAACAUUUUUCCCAUCCCGUAGGAAAAUUACAAUGAAAUUUAAAGCAAAAAUCAACGACGAUCUUUUCGCUUGUAAUAUUUGAUUUCGAUUCCACCUUUCUAUCAAGAAUGUUUGAUGUGCCUGAAUCACAACAAUAAAAUAAGAAAGUCAGUAUAAUGAAAUUCAUGUGUUUUUGUGUGCAUGUGAGAAAGAGAAAGAGAAACAGAGAAAGGAGCAUACAAUGACAAAGGGAGGCAAAAGAAGCCAUGAGAAUGAGGAAGAGAACUAGAAACCUACAACUAACGAAGGCCAUUUGAAAGGUAAUGAAAGGUUCCAGUGGAAUGAUUAAAUUGAGAAAUAAGAGGCUAUUUAUAAGUAGAUGCUAUGAAAUAUGAUAAUAGAAUUUUCAAUAGGCUUUUAUUUAAAAUUUAUUAC
rnacentral:lncRNA from 1 species